rnacentral:rRNA from 1 species
AAAGGGCAUACGGUGGAUGCCUUGGCAAAACGUGCCGAUGAAGGACGUAGCAGCCUGCGAUAAGCUUCGGGGAGGUGGCAAGCAACCUUUGAUCCGGAGAUUUCCGAAUGGGGAAACCCAAUGCGGGGAAGCCGCAUUACCUUGUGCUGAAUACAUAGGUACAAGGAGGGCACCUGGGGAAGUGAAACAUCUCAGUACCCAGAGGAAAAGAAAAAGAAUGUUCGUUUUACGUUUACAUGCACACGCACGUUGCCUGUAAACGGAUAACGAGCCCAUUCCCUAAGUAGUGGCGAGCGAAAAGGGAAGAGCCCAAACCUUAAUGAGUGAAGUUGUUGUACGAUGUAUAGUGGAAGUCGUUGGAAAACGACACCAAAGAAGGUGAUAGUCCUGUACAUAAAAUACUCCCGUACCAUUACUAUGAUUAUUCUUGAGUACCACGGGACUCGUGAAAUCCUGUGGGAACCUGCCGCGACUAUGUGGCAAGGCUAAAUACACGUUUUGACCGAUAGUGAACAAGUACCGUGAGGGAAAGGUGAAAAGCACCCCGAGAGGGGAAUGAAAUAGUAUCUGAAACCGUAUGCUUACAAGGAGUCAGAGUCCCGCUUUGCGGGAUGAUGGCGUUCCUAUUGAAGAAUGAGCCAACGAGUGUGUUGUAUGUUGCUUGGUUAAGUCCUCCGGGACGGAGCCAUAGUGAAAGCGAGCGUUAACCCGCGUGAUGUGACUAAAUUCGAAUUGUUCGAUUUUUAUCGAACUUUUCGAAUUUUUUCACAGAGUAGCAUGCACACGACCCGAAACCAGGCGACCUAGCCAUGGCCAGGUUGAAGCGAGUGUAACAGCUCGUGGAGGACCGAACCCACGCGUCGUGCAACACGCGGGGAUGAGCUGUGGUUAGCGGAGAAAUUCCAAUCGAGCCUGGUAAUAGCUGGUUCUCCCCGAGAUAGCUUUAGGGCUAGCGUCGGUUAAUAGUGUAUUGGGGGUAGAGCACUGAAUGGGGUCACCGCCUUCGGGUAGGUAUCCUAAACAAACUCCGAAUACCAAUACAUGUUCCCGGCAGUCAGACUAUGGGGGCUAAGCUCCAUUAGUCGAAAGGGAAACAGCCCAGAUCUCCAACUAAGGUCCCUAAAUCAUCAUUAAGUGUAAAAGGUGGUUGAAAGGCUUAUACAACCAGGAGGUUGGCUUAGAAGCAGCCAUCCUUUAAAGAUAGCGUAAUAGCUCACUGGUCAAGCUUUUCUGCGCCGAAAAUGUACCGGGGCUAAAUGAUGUACCGAAGUUGAGGGUGUCUUCACCUAGAGUGAAGGCGCGGUAGGGGAGCAUUCGUAUUGCACUGAAGCUGUGUCGUAAGGCAUGGUGGAGCGAUGCGAAGGGAGAAUGUUGGCAUAAGUAGCAAAAAGACAGGUGAGAAUCCUGUCCACCGUAAACCCAAGGUUUCCUGGGCAACGAGAAUCGACCCAGGGUUAGUCGGGAGCUAAGGCGAGGCCGAAAGGCGUAGUCGAUGCACAGCAGGUUAAUAUUCCUGCACUCUGUCACACACUGAUGCGGGGACGCUUCGUGAAAUUUCCUGCGUCCUAUGGCUAUGACGUCGGGUGCAUCUUGGCGACUGGUAGGUAAAUCCGCUAGUCAUUAAGCUCGGAUGUAAUCGCAAGUCUGCCGCAAGGCAAGCAAGAGGAAAGGACAUGGAGCCAAGAAAAGCCGCUAGGGUUAAUGUGUGAUGGACCCGUACCCCAAACCAACACAGGUGGGUGGGCGCGUAAUGUGCCAAGGUGUACGAGAGAACCUUCGUUAAGGAACUCGGCAAAUCAGUGGCCGUAACUUCGGGAUAAGGCCUGGUUGCCCUCGGGAGAGGGUGACCCGCAGCGACUGACCACAACCGACUGUUUAUCAAAAACACAGGUCCCUGCUAAACUGCAAAGUGAUGUAUAGGGGCUGAUGCCUGGCCAGUGUCCGAACGUUAAGGAAGGGGGUCAUCCCAUUAGGGAGAAGCUUCCGACUGAAGCGCGGAUGAACGCCGGCGAUAACUAUAAUCGUCCUAAGGUAGCGAAAUUCCUUGUCGGGUAAGUUCCGACCUGCACGAAUGGCAUAACGAGUUGUGGACUCUCUCAACGAAGGACUCGGUGAAAUUGCAAGAUGAGUGAAGAUGCUCAUUACUCGUGGUUAGACGAAAAGACCCCGUGAAGCUUUACUAUAGCUUGUUCUUGGGUUCAUGUUUCAUAUGUUCAGUAUAGGUGGGAGCCUUCGGGCGCCAGUGAGAUACCACCCUUAUGUUGUGUGAAUCCUAACCAGACGCCGUGAAUCCGGUGUCAGGGACAGGAACUGGUGGGUAGUUUACCUGGGGCGGGUGCCUCCCAAAAAGUAACGGAGGCGUCUACAAAGGUUGGCUUAGCGCGGAUGGAAAUCGCGCUGGACGUGCAUACGCAGAAGCCAGCUUUACUGCAAGACCUACAAGUCGCGCAGUUGCGAAAGCAGAGGUAAGUGAUCCGACCGUUCGAGAUAGGACGGCGGAAGCUCAUCGGAUAAAAGCUACUCCGGGGAUAACAGGCUAGUCUCCCCCAAGCGUCCACAGCGACGGGGAGGUUCGGCACCUCGAUG